rnacentral:rRNA from 1 species
AUUGAACGCUGGCGGCAGGCCUAACACAUGCAAGUCGAACGGAGCGGCGGACGGGGGAGGAAUGGCUAGGAAUCUGCCUGGUCCUGGGGGAGAACGUUCGGAAACGGGCGCGAAUACCGCAUACUAUCAGAAGAGCCUAGGUCGGAUUAGCUAGUGGGGGGGGUAAAGGCAUACCAAGGCGACGAUCAGUAUCGGGUCUGAGAGGAUGAUCAGUCACACUGGAACUGAGACACGGUCCAGACUCCUACGGGAGGCAGCAGUGGGGAAUAGUGGACAAUGGGCGAAAGCCUGAUGCAGCCAUGCCGCGUGUGUGAAGAAGGUCUUCGGGUUGUAAAGCACUUUAAGCUGGGAGGCGUUACCAACAGAAUAAGCACCGGCUAACUUCGUGCCAGCAGCCGCGGUAAUUC